UACGUAGGGUGCAAGCGUUAAUCGGAAUUACUGGGCGUAAAGCGUGCGCAGGCGGUUUUGUAAGUCUGUCGUGAAAGCCCCGGGCUCAACCUGGGAAUUGCGAUGGAGACUGCAAGGCUUGAAUCUGGCAGAGGGGGGUAGAAUUCCACGUGUAGCAGUGAAGAUGCGUAGAGAUGUGGAGGAACACCGAUGGCGAAGGCAGCCCCCUGGGUCAAGAUUGACGCCCAUGCACGAAAGCGUGGGGAGCAAACAGG
rnacentral:rRNA from 1 species